rnacentral:rRNA from 1 species
AGAGUUUGAUCAUGGCUCAGAACGAACGCUGGCGGCAGGCCUAACACAUGCAAGUCGAACGCUCGUAGCAAUACGAGAGUGGCAGACGGGUGAGUAACACGUGGGAACCUUCCCUAUGGUUCGGAAUAGCCCAGGGAAACUUGGGGUAAUACCGGAUAAGCCCUUCGGGGGAAAGAUUUAUCGCCAUUGGAUGGGCCCGCGUCGGAUUAGCUAGUUGGUGAGGUAACGGCUCACCAAGGCGACGAUCCGUAGCUGGUCUGAGAGGAUGAUCAGCCACACUGGGACUGAGACACGGCCCAGACUCCUACGGGAGGCAGCAGUGGGGAAUAUUGGACAAUGGGCGCAAGCCUGAUCCAGCCAUGCCGCGUGAGUGACGAAGGCCUUAGGGUUGUAAAGCUCUUUUGGCGGGGAAGAUAAUGACGGUACCCGCAGAAUAAGCUCCGGCUAACUUCGUGCCAGCAGCGGCGGUAAUUC